rnacentral:rRNA from 1 species
CCGCCUCCAGGAUCACGUCUUCGCGCUCAAGGAGGACUCCACGCUGCCGCCCGUCACAUCGACCUCAUCAGGAUCUCUCCCGUCCCCUCCUUCCCUCGCAGCGGCCGCCCUGCUCGCGUUGUUCCAGCAGUGGGGUCUCCGGUGCAGCCCGACGGUGAACCCGGGGCACCUGUGCGGGACGCGGGACUGGAUAGAGUCCUUCGCGCAGAAUGCGUCCGUCGGCUGCAGUUGCGACCGCUGGCCCGUGUGCCGCAUCACGCACCUGAACAUCACUGGAUUCUGGAAUCUGACCGAGAUCCCGCCGGAGCUCUUCAACUCGACGGAGCUGGUCUCUCUGUACAAGGGGAAUUCGCUGGCCCAGAUGAGGAGCCAAAGCAACACCAAGUCACAGUUUCACACGCCGCUUCUAAGGGGAGAUAUGCAAGGUUUAAAGAGAAUUUGAAUGCCAAGCCACUGGAGACGAAGCAAAACCACCAUCAAGUUGCUGUCUCAUGCGCCACUUCAAAAGGGAGCAAUGUCGCUUGA